CUUGCAGCCACACCCACGCUUUAAUCAAGGGUGGGUGUGGCUGCAAGUUUUUGUUCCAAUAAAGCAAGAGGACACCUGAAAUGACUGUGUGAAGACAGUUCAGUUGAUUGAAUGAACCAAGUCAGGUGUGCUGCUGCAUGGUUGGAAUGAAAACCUGCAGCCCCACCGGCCCUUUCACGGAUCAGUUUGACACCCCUGGCCUAGACGCUGGUGCUGAGUGAGAAGACCAAAAGUUGCUGGGCGACCGUGGACUGUGCAUGAGGGAUGCAGUAUUUUAUGGACAAUUACAGACUGUUCAGGCUUCACCACAACAGUGGUGUUGCUUUUUUAUCUUUUAGUAUUGUUUUAAGUGGUACUUAAGUGGUAUCUUUUUAUCUGUAGUAAAUCCUUUUAAAUGAAUUUUUUUCUCUUGAUGGACUUUUGACUCUGCCAACCCCAAUUUAGAAGAACCUGUUUUUUUAGGAGUUGUAGGCUGCAUAUUAAUCCUAGGUGGCGUUGUCGGCUUUUAAUUUAGAUAAUUUUACAGAUUUUAAACAGGCCCUGGAAUUAGAGGUUUGGGCCCGGCCACAUAAGGAUUUAAAAAUGCACCUGCUAGUAUCCUGAUUAUUCAUUUUCGUGUAAACGAAUCCUCUGUUGUAAGUCACGUUAUACAUUUCAUUUCCUAUAUGCAGCCUGGUCAUGAAUUAUGAGACCAGACACAGACCACCCUCCAUCUCACUGGAUCAGUCUGUGCAAAGAAACUACAGUUCUGCUACAGCUGGGCUGUGGUAUGGAACAGAGGACUCCUUGGACGGCCUACUUUGGUGAUGGAACCGGACAAAUCUUUCCAUCAGCGUCAGCAGUCUUAAAAUUAAGUGAAAAGAAAUGUGGAUUUCUGUCAGUGAGAAAGAAACAAGCAGUCAAUAUAUCGUAGUAUAUCACUGUAUAUUAUCUCUUUACUGUCUGUGUACUCGUGAUGUAAAUCUCUUUCAACAGAUCCAGUUAAUAUAUUCAGAAAAGCCCUCCUGUCUUUGAUUCUGGUGUCGGUGACCAUUUUCCUUUAUUUCUGUUGCAAGGCCACCAGAGGGCAGAAAUCAACCACACAGGAGACGACUGAGGUGGAGUAUCAUUACCUUGAUGUUGUCAGAGCCUGAGGGGGCCCUACUGAGGAGGAAGGAGCCCAGCAGUAGGACCCCAGCGAUCCUAUGCCACAUCCAGACAGAUUUCUUUGCUGCCACACCAUUUAUCAGUUCAGUCAGGAAAUGUAUAUUUUCAUAUUGCAGAAGAGAAGAGUGCUUGUAUCAGUGAGUCAAACAUAAAGGAUGACAAUUAAAUUCAUUAAUUUUU